GGAAGUAAAAGUGUAACAAGGUUUCCGUAUGUGAACCUGCGGAAGGAUCAUUAAUGAGUUGUCAUGGGGUUCGAUGCUGGCAGCCAAUUUUUGGAUGCAUGUGCUUGCCCUAACAAUCAUCUUCCAAACACCUGUGCACAUUUUUGAGGGAGUCUUGAGUUGGUUGCCGCUCUUGGGUGAUUUUCUCACAUUCCCUUAAAUCAUUAUACGCUAUUAACAAUGUUGAACGUGCUCUGUGCCGCAAGGCUAUUAAUAUAAUACAACUUUUAACAACGGAUCUCUUGGCUCUC
rnacentral:misc_RNA from 1 species